GACGUAGGUGGCGAACGUUAUCCGGAAUUAUUGGGCGUAAAGGGUGCGUAGGUGGUCUGAUAAGUUAUCAGUGGCAAAUCGAGGCUCAACCUCGUGGAAACUGGUAAUACUGUCCGGCUUGAGUGCAGGAGAGGUUAACGGAACUCUAUGUGGAGCGGUAAAAUGCACAGAUAUAUAGAAGAACAUCAAUAACGGCGAAGGCAGUUAACUAUUCUGUUACUGACACUGAGGCACGAAAGCGUGGGGAGCAAACAGG
rnacentral:rRNA from 1 species